GUCGGGUUCGGGACGAAAUGGUUGACCCGGCCGCCGAUCACGGCCAAUGUGCGCUUGCCCUGGCUGACCAUCUGUACGCCCCGGCUUCUGAACGCCUU
rnacentral:sRNA from 1 species